UACGUAGGGUGCGAGCGUUGUCCGGAAUUAUUGGGCGUAAAGGGCUCGUAGGCGGUUUGUCGCGUCGGGAGUGAAAACGCCGGGCUUAACUCGGUGCUUGCUUUCGAUACGGGCAGACUAGAGGCAUGCAGGGGAGAACGGAAUUCCUGGUGUAGCGGUGAAAUGCGCAGAUAUCAGGAGGAACACCGGUGGCGAAGGCGGAUCUCUGGGCCGAUACUGACGCUGAGGAGCGAAAGCGUGGGGAGCGAACAGG
rnacentral:rRNA from 1 species